CUGAUAAGCCUAAUUGAGUCCUCAAACUCUAUAACUGUCCUCGGAAGGGUUUUUAAUUUUUGCACCUAAAAAUAGAAUCAACGAAACAUAGCAAAUCUGUCCAAGGGCAAUUAGAACUUUAUGCAAGUUGCAACAGUGCUCAAUGCAAGAUUAUUGGGAGAAAAAUUUGCUCUAGCAGCUCCACGUCCAUUCAUUUUGGGUCGUUUUGACGUCACCAAACUAUGGUUAACUGUUAUUUGACUGCCGUUUUUUUAGCCUCCGUUUUUCUUAAGAAACCCCAAAUUCAGUAUAAUCUUUUGGCGCAAGUAUAUUGUUUUUGCUGCCAGAAAAAAAAAAUUAGAUCUCUCUAAAUUCCUGCAAUUGAUGAAAUCUAUCAUAUUAUUAGAGCUUUGAACGUCACCCAAAUAUGUACAAUGUUUGAUCCAGAUCAAAAAAUUAUUCUUUUUCUUGUGAAAUAUUGAAGGUGAGUAAUUGCAAACUCCAUAUUUCUUAUCCAUCUGAAAUUGUAGAAAAUAUAAAUCUUCAAGAUAUCUGAGAACCUUAACGAGGUAAUUUUCUUAUACUACCACAUUUAAUUUGAUGAAAUUGUGUUCUAUUAGGACUCUUUACUUUCAGUCUUGUUAAUCACCUAGCAUACUGUUAACUAUUUGUUGAAUGGUCCGUGUGAAUAUAUCAUAGUGAAUUUAUUAGAUAGUAUUGUCGAUCCAACUCAACUAUGUCUUAUGAAUUUCUGUUUCCUUGAUGAGAGAUAGUGAACUUAGUGAUACAGACAUGGGUCUGUUAAGAUAUGGUUAGAAUAUUUACUAGUUAGAAUGAUCCAUUGCAAGAAGGGUGUACUUAUUCUAGCUGCAGUCAGUGUGUCCAAGCGUACAUUGAGUCAACAGCAAGAUCUAGCAUCUAAUGAGCCUCUAGUUUCCACUGAUUCCAUUCAUGAAUGAGCAAUUUUUUAUUCUUUCAAAUGAAGUACUCUUUCCCUCCAAAAUAGGUGAGUUUUUUUCGAUUCCAAUCAAGAACUCUUGCGGAGUAACAUGUAAUUCACAUAGGCAACCCUUGCUCAGGUCUGGAGAAACAAGAAAGCAUCACGUAAAUCAAAAUUUAUGGCUGUGAAGACAUAAAACCCCUCCUCCGACUGUCCCAAGAGUUGUUUUGCGACCAAAAUAGGCCUCAAUUAACCGUGUAGAUAUUCCCAUUCACUUCAAAUGAAUAUCUCUGGUGUAGAGGAACCACUAACAUUGGACGGUGAAGGAACUCAUAACCUUGUCGAAAACCAAAGCUUUUUAGCACUUAUGCUGGACUAAUGCUAUUCGAGGCUGCGUUGUCACAUGUCCAGGUUUAUGGUCUCAUAUGUCGCAGACAGUGCUACGCAGUAGCGUCAUUGAAAGGAUACAAGGCUUGUGUUGUAUUUUGUAUAUUUUGUAAACUUGAUGUCGCGAGCCAAACUAAUCUAAUUUAACCUUUAUGAAAACAUAUCUGGGAUUAAGAACUCCAAACUAGUAGUCAUUGUAUAGUGAAGUAAGCUUUGAAAGGUAUUCUGUGAAACAAUUAUUGCA